CAGUCGACGGCAGCAUGAUCUAGCUUGCUAGAUUGAUGGCGAGUGGCGAACGGGUGAGUAAUACAUCGGAACGUGCCCUGUAGUGGGGGAUAACUAGUCGAAAGAUUAGCUAAUACCGCAUACGACCUGAGGGUGAAAGUGGGGGACCGCAAGGCCUCAUGCUAUAGGAGCGGCCGAUGUCUGAUUAGCUAGUUGGUGAGGUAAAGGCUCACCAAGGCGACGAUCAGUAGCUGGUCUGAGAGGACGAUCAGCCACACUGGGACUGAGACACGGCCCAGACUCCUACGGGAGGCAGCAGUGGGGAAUUUUGGACAAUGGGCGAAAGCCUGAUCCAGCAAUGCCGCGUGUGUGAAGAAGGCCUUCGGGUUGUAAAGCACUUUUGUCCGGAAAGAAAUGGCUCUGGUUAAUACCUGGGGUCGAUGACGGUACCGGAAGAAUAAGGACCGGCUAACUACGUGCCAGCAGCCGCGGUAAUACGUAGGGUCCAAGCGUUAAUCGGAAUUACUGGGCGUAAAGCGUGCGCAGGCGGUUGUGCAAGACCGAUGUGAAAUCCCCGAGCUUAACUUGGGAAUUGCAUUGGUGACUGCACGGCUAGAGUGUGUCAGAGGGGGGGUAGAAUUCCACGUGUAGCAGUGAAAUGCGUAGAGAUGUGGAGGAUACCGAUGGCGAACGCAGCCCCUGGGAUAACACUGACGCUCAUGCACGAAAGCGUGGGGAGCAACAGGAUUAGAUACCCUGGUAGUCCACGCCCUAAACGAUGUCACUAGUUGUUGGGGAUUCAUUUCCUUAGUAACGUAGCUACGCGUGAGUGACGCCUGGGGAGUACGGUCCAGAUAAC
rnacentral:rRNA from 1 species